GAAGCCCCCCUCAAGAUGAGAUUUCCCAGUAUGUAAGACCCCUUGAAGACGACGAGGUAGAUAGGUUCGAGGUGGAAGCGCAGCAAUGCGUGGAGCUGACGAAUACUAAUCGGUCGAGGGCUUAUCCUA
rnacentral:rRNA from 1 species